AUUGAACGCUGGCGGCAGGCUUAACACAUGCAAGUCGAGCGGGGUGAUGGUGCUUGCACUAUCACUUAGCGGCGGACGGGUGAGUAAUGCUUAGGAAUCUGCCUAUUAGUGGGGGACAACAUCUCGAAAGGGAUGCUAAUACCGCAUACGUCCUACGGGAGAAAGCAGGGGAUCACUUGUGACCUUGCGCUAAUAGAUGAGCCUAAGUCGGAUUAGCUGGUUGGUGGGGUAAAGGCCUACCAAGGCGACGAUCUGUAGCGGGUCUGAGAGGAUGGUCGGCCACACUGGGACUGGGACACGGCCCAGACUCCUACGGGAGGCAGCAGUGGGGAAUAUUGGACAAUGGGGGGAACCCUGAUCCAGCCAUGCCGCGUGUGUGAAGAAGGCCUUAUGGUUGUAAAGCACUUUAAGCGAGGAGGAGGCUCUUUUGGUUAAUACCCAAGAUGAGUGGACGUUACUCGCAGAAUAAGCACCGGCUAACUCUGUGCCAGCCGCCGCUGUAA
rnacentral:rRNA from 1 species